CUGGUGCAGGUUUAAUUUCAAUGAUCUUAAUAUAAUCAAUUAUAUUUCACAACAUGGUUCGUCCAAUACCAGAGGUUGCAGCCAACAACUUCGCCUCAAUGCCGCUAGCAAUCGCCUUGUUCGUCUCAGUCUCUGCCCUUGUAGCUCUAUGUGCCAAAGCCAACCAUGUACACCGCCGUGCCUCGCCCGGAAAACAAACUAAGUCACCCUCGGCGGCACCUAAGCAACUUGUGGCCAGCCUCAGCAACAAGGCAAUUCCACUCGUCUCCAAAAAUAAAGGGGAAGAAGUUGAAGUCGUGGAUGAUGGGUUUGGAGAAGGAGGGGUGUGGCAGAGGUCAAUUUUGAUGGGUGAGAAGUGCCAGCCACCUGAAUUUUCAGGUGUGAUAUAUUAUGAUGAGCGUGGAAAACAGCUUUCUGAGCUGCCACCAAGGUCGCCUAGGGUCGCCAGUCCCUUGCCAAACCUUUUCUCUCCUGCGGCUAGAGAUAUGCGACCUUGCUAGCUAUAGUUGAACUGUGUAGGAUUGGAGAUUGAAGACGAUAGAGGCAUAAAUGGGAACUUGGUGGAGGAGACUAAGCAGAGCUAAGUAGAAGAUUUAGAAUUUUUUUUUUUUUGGAAAACGAAGAUUUAGAAGUUUUGCAUGUCGUUGCAAGUUAAAAGAAAUAAAUGCAAUGGCAUAUAGGUUGGCACAAUUCGCAUUAAGUUGUGACAAAUUUAUAGCUUGGAGCCUUGGAUUGAGGACGCUCCUCCGUGGUUGAUGCCGUUUUUGGAGGUGAAGACAGAGCUACAGAGUCGAUGAUUUCUUGUGAUGGCAAGCAGAGAUCUUCUUUUUCCUUUCGGUGGAUUUUUCCACCUUGGAAAUUUUCAAAUCGAAAGGUUUUUUUAGAAGUCCAUGCUUGUUGUAUUUUCUUUUUCUUGUUGGUUCAUAUUACAUCCAUGUAUUACUUUUUAAUGGUUGGGAAUUAAAUUCAUCUUUAACGAUAUAAAAAAACUGUGUAGGAUUAUUUCCUAUCAGUAUGAUAUCGACAACAUCGAGAAGGUGUGAAAUGUAAUAAAACCGUUUAUUAUGGUAAACAUGUUUUUUUUCCUUUAAACAGUAAGUUUAAAUGUCAAAA